GACGAAGAGAUUUUCACUGUGGGUCAUGUGUUCGUGGACCCGGUUCCCUUCCUGUCUAUUAUGUUAUAAUCGACAACAAAAGCUUACAUUGCUAUGACGUGGCACUCUCUGAUCGAAUCACAGCAGAAAAUUGAAAGUUGUAAACUUACAUCAAGAACCACCAUAUCAGAGCCAACCUUAUUGGCUCCUUUCUAAAACACCGUCUCUCACGCACUCCUCAAACAGAAAAGAUAGAAGAUGAAUGCAGCAAUUUCAAUGAGAAGUAAAAGAGGUUUGACCGGGACGGUCGCCGCGGAUGCCGGGGAUCUAAAGCUCCGAGCUUACGUCAGCUUCGUGCCCGCUAUAAGCGCUAGUGACCUUUCUCUCUCUGUUGAGAAGCCUGGCUCGUUUUUAAUCGACUUUGACGUUCCUCAGAAGGAUAUUAAAUUCCAGUUCAUGAACACUGCUAGGGUACUAGAGAAGCAGCUCAACAUGACUUACACUCACUGGAGGGGUGAAAACCGGACUAUCUUGGAUGGGACACUUGUGCUUGAUCACAAUAACAAGAUAUCUGCCAGUUAUGCGAUUGAUUCAAGUAAUUGUAAAUUAAAGUAUAGCCAUGUGCAUAGGGGGGUAUUUACAUUUGAGCCUUGCUAUGAUUUUGGGAAGAACUCAUGGGAGUUGGCUUUGUCAAAGACUGUUCUUGAUGGUGAUGUUAUAAAAGCUUCUUAUGUGACAUCAAGCAAAGCUCUGGAGCUCCAGUGGAUUUGGAAAUCCUCUUUUAAUAAAGAUGGAAGAUGCAAGGUACUUAACCACCAUAUAUGUUUUGCUUUUUAUGGGAAUCCUGUGAUUCUGACUGUUUGAGUGAUCAAGAGUUUUGGAACUUUUGUGAUUAUUGGGCUAAAAGUUGAUAGUUCAGAGAUUAUCAAAUCUCUUCCUCAAGGUUUCAGCUUCUUUUAAUUUGGCAGAGGGGUUACACACACCAACACUAACUGCUGAGAGUUUUUGGAACUUCGAAAUGUAGUCUUCCUUACUUUAAUGAUUAGAGGUUUUGAACAUGGA